GACGAACGCUGGCGGCGUGCCUAACACAUGCAAGUCGAACGGGGUUGUUCCUUCGGGGACAACUUAGUGGCGAACGGGUGAGUAACGCGUGAGGAACCUGCCUUUCAGUGGGGGACAACAGUUGGAAACGACUGCUAAUACCGCAUAAUGUUAUUUAGGGGCAUCCCUGAAUAACCAAAGCUUUAUGUGCUGAAAGAUGGCCUCGCGUCUGAUUAGCUAGUUGGUGAGGUAGCGGCUCACCAAGGCGACGAUCAGUAGCCGGUCUGAGAGGUUGAACGGCCACAUUGGGACUGAGACACGGCCCAG
rnacentral:rRNA from 1 species